GAUGAACGCUGCCAGAAUGCUUAACACAUGCAAGUCUUUGGCGAAGCUGUGCUUGCACCGCCUAGCCAAGGCGGACGGGUGAGUAACGCGUAAGGAACUUGCCCUGCAGUCAGGGAUAACAGACGGAAACGACUGAUAAGACCUGGUAAAGUCAGGCGGACUCAUGUCCAGCCUGAUGAAAAGAGAUGCUGCAGGAGAGCCUUGCGUCCUAUUAGCUUGUUGGUGGGGUAACGGCCCACCAAGGCGAUGAUAGGUAGCCGGCCUGAGAGGGUGGACGGCCACAAGGGGACUGAGAUACGGCCCUUACGCCUACGGGAGGCAGCAGUGGGGAAUAUUGGACAAUGGGGGCAACCCUGAUCCAGCAAUUCUGUGUGCACGAUGAAGGUUUUCGGAUUGUAAAGUGCUUUCAGCAGGGAAGAAAAAAAUGACGGUACCUGCAGAAGAAGCGACGGCUAAAUACGUG
rnacentral:rRNA from 1 species